UACGUAGGGAGCAAGCGUUGUUCGGAUUUACUGGGCGUACAGGGAGCGUAGGCGGUUGGAUAAGCCCUCCGUGAAAUCUCCAGGCUUAACCUGGAAAGUGCAGAGGGGACUGUUCAGCUAGAGGAUGGGAGAGGAGCGCGGAAUUCCCGGUGUAGCGGUGAAAUGCGCAGAUAUCAGGAGGAACACCGGUGGCGAAGGCGGCCUUCUGGGCCUGUUCUGACGCUGAGGAGCGAAAGCGUGGGGAGCAAACAGG
rnacentral:rRNA from 1 species